rnacentral:sRNA from 1 species
GCCAGGCAUGGUGGCACAUGCCUGUAAUCCCAGCCGCACAGGAGGCUGAGGCAGGAGGAUUGUGAGUUCAAAGCCAGCCUCAGCAAAAGCAAGGUGUUAAGCAACUUAGCGAGACCCUGUCUCUU